rnacentral:misc_RNA from 1 species
GACGUCGGCGCUCGGCGCACCGAAUCCGAUAACCAUCAGCACUUCGGCGGCCAGCAACCACGUGAUCGCAACCGCGAAGUAGGUGAUGGUCCACCUGGAAAGAUUAUUACCCAUUAUCGCCAUUCCUCGCGCCGCGCGCGGCGUACGUAGGAGGCGCCCCGCAGGGCGAACGCGGUCGGCAGGGAAAGAUCGCCGGCGGACACCGGCAGCCAGACGAGUGCGGUCGCGCCCGCAUAGAUCGCGCCGAAAAAGUAGAAGAGCCUGAAUCCGCGAGAGAAGAUCGCGAGCCCGGAUAGGCCUUCCGUUUGUGCAUUAUCGCCACGACGUAUCCUCGUUG